AUUGAACGCUGGCGGCAUGCCUUACACAUGCAAGUCGAACGGUAACGGGUCCUUCGGGAUGCCGACGAGUGGCGAACGGGUGAGUAAUAUAUCGGAACGUGCCCAGUAGUGGGGGAUAACUGCUCGAAAGAGCAGCUAAUACCGCAUACGACCUGAGGGUGAAAGGGGGGGAUCGCAAGACCUCUCGCUAUUGGAGCGGCCGAUAUCAGAUUAGCUAGUUGGUGGGGUAAAGGCCUACCAAGGCAACGAUCUGUAGUUGGUCUGAGAGGACGACCAGCCACACUGGGACUGAGACACGGCCCAGACUCCUACGGGAGGCAGCAGUGGGGAAUUUUGGACAAUGGGCGCAAGCCUGAUCCAGCAAUGCCGCGUGCAGGAAGAAGGCCUUCGGGUUGUAAACUGCUUUUGUCAGGGAAGAAAUCUUCUGGGCUAAUACCCCGGGAGGAUGACGGUACCUGAAGAAUAAGCACCGGCUAACUACGUGCCAGCAGCCGCGGUAAUACGUAGGGUGCGAGCGUUAAUCGGAAUUACUGGGCGUAAAGCGUGCGCAGGCGGCUUUGCAAGACAGAUGUGAAAUCCCCGGGGCUCAACCUGGGGAACUGCAUUUGUGACUGCAAGGCUAGAGUACGGCAGAGGGGGAUGGAAUUCCGCGUGUAGCAGAGAAAUGCGUAGAUAUGCGGAGGAACACCAAGGGCGAAGGCAAUCCCCUGGGCCUGUACUGACGCUCAUGCACGAAAGGGGGGGGAGCAAACAGGAUUAGAUACCCUGGUAGUCCACGCCCUAAACGAUGUCAACUGGUUGUUGGACGGCUUGCUGUUCAGUAACGAAGCUAACGCGUGAAGUUGACCGCCUGGGGAGUACGGCCGCAAGGUCGAAACUCAAAGGAAUUGACGGGGACCCGCACAAGCGGUGGAUGAUGUGGUUUAAUUCGAUGCAACGCGAAAAACCUUACCUACCCUUGACAUGUCAAGAAUUCUGCAGAGAUGUGGAAGUGCUCGAAAGAGAACUUGAACACAGGUGCUGCAUGGCCGUCGUCAGCUCGUGUCGUGAGAUGUUGGGUUAAGUCCCGCAACGAGCGCAACCCUUGUCAUUAGUUGCUACGCAAGAGCACUCUAAUGAGACUGCCGGUGACAAACCGGAGGAAGGUGGGGAUGACGUCAGGUCCUCAUGGCCCUUAUGGGUAGGGCUACACACGUCAUACAAUGGCCGGUACAGAGGGCUGCCAACCCGCGAGGGGGAGCCAAUCCCAGAAAACCGGUCGUAGUCCGGAUCGUAGUCUGCAACUCGACUGCGUGAAGUCGGAAUCGCUAGUAAUCGCGGAUCAGCUUGCCGCGGUGAAUACGUUCCCGGGUCU
rnacentral:rRNA from 1 species